GUAUCUCUUACCAUUCCUUAAACCCUCUUGAAAACCGCUUUUCAAGUUUAGAAUUACAAAAGCCAGCUAGACCGCACAUCUAAAUGGUUCAUCAACCCCUGUACUCAAAUGAUAUCCCGCAAUAACAGAGGAUAAGCAGGGUGAAUCUCAAAAUUAAAAUAAAAUGUUUAUCCACAUUCGGUAAUAUAGGUUUUUACUGGAAACAAUAUUAGAAACCAACCACUGUUGCUUGACCUUAGAAGGUGUAGCACAAACCCAUCACUGAUGAUGCGUUAAUCAGCUAGCCCAAAAAAACGAAAACUGAAUAUAUCGAGGGGGUCGCCGAAACGAGUCUGCCAAACCUGCAGCGAGAGUAGGCGGAUGAUUGUAAACAAAUUUCAGGUUGCUUACUUAGAACCAGCAAGAAAUCACACAAUAACAGCGGUAUAAACCAGUAUAAAAUAUUAUCCACAUUCUGGGACAACAGUUGUUUACUGAAAACUCUAUUGGGAAAUAAUGAGUUAUUGCUUCACCCUACUUAAAGCCUUGGCCGAUAAAACCGAACAAGGAAAAUGGCGAAAAUCCUAUUUUACUGGAAACUACAGGCACGUUUCGGCUUCUGGUCAUAUGUUGUACCUCAUCCUACAUUCUUACUUACAACCCUGACCAAAACAGCGACCAAUGAAGAUGAAAAGAAAUUGAGAGGCGUCUGACAGAUUAACUCAGCGAGGAUAAACAAACCGGGAUGAUCAGAAACUAAUUAUAUAUCCUUAGCCACAAGUCAGAGUCAACAAAAAUCUAGCAUUCAGUCCUUCCAAUCGAAAGCCGUUAGACAAAUUGUCGAAGCACUAACCUCACUAUCCACAAAGACAUCAGCAUUCCUUUUGUCAACGAACUGAUCCGAUCCAGAUGCCAAACCUUCAACACCAACCUUUCGAACCAUCCUAACCAUUGCUCGAGCUCUCUCCCCUCAUUCCCAUUUGGACAAUCCGCCACGUUGCUUCAACCUCCUCCAAACCUAAUCGUACACAUUGAGCAAUAGCUGGCUCCUCAAAGCAUGUGUUCUUCAGGUGCAGUGCUGGCAUUAGUGCUAGUGUUGUGUUAUGUAAUACAUUAACAUGUACACGUUUGGAUCGUAUACGAUUAUGGAUAGCUUAGUCAGGGAAGAUAGGAGGACUUGGAUGAUCGGAAACAAUUUACUAGUUACUCAACCCCAGACACAAAAAAUUCACAAUAACAGAUGGAUAUGAAAAGGGCGAGGUGCAAACCCACCACUGAAGAUGGCUUUAAUCAGAGGACAGAGGCCCUUCACCGUGCUUAACCCUGACCGAGAACCGAGCACUGAAGAUGGCGAGAAGCCGAAACGGGUCUGCCAGAACUAACCAGCGCGGUUUAGCAGACCAACACCACAUGUACAUCAAUCGGAGACCCCCACA